rnacentral:lncRNA from 1 species
AUGGUUAUAGUGUAGCAGGGAUGGUGAGGGUGGUGUUGGCAUUAGCAGCAAUGGUGGCAGUGGUGGCAGAGAUGGUACAAAGGUUGUCUUGAUGGUGGUGAUAACAAAUAUGAGUUUUUUAUUUUUUAAAAUAUUAAAGAUAAAAAUUUCUUACUUUCAUGUUUCCAAGAAAUAACAAAAGUCACUUUUGAAAAUAACAAAUAAAAAUAAUAGCACC